rnacentral:tRNA from 1 species
GGCUCGGUAGCUCAGUUGGUAGAGCAAUGGAUUGAAGCUCCAUGUGUCGGCGGUUCGAU